GACGAACGCUGGCGGCGUGCCUAAUACAUGCAAGUAGAACGCUGAAGGAGGAGCUUGCUUCUCUGGAUGAGUUGCGAACGGGUGAGUAACGCGUAGGUAACCUGCCUGGUAGCGGGGGAUAACUAUUGGAAACGAUAGCUAAUACCGCAUAAUAGUAGAUGUUGCAUGACAUUUGCUUAAAAGGUGCAAUUGCAUCACUACCAGAUGGACCUGCGUUGUAUUAGCUAGUUGGUGAGGUAACGGCUCACCAAGGCAACGAUACAUAGCCGACCUGAGAGGGGGAUCGGCCAAACUGGGACUGAGACACGGCCCAGACUCCUACGGGAGGCAGCAGUAGGGAAUCUUCGGCAAUGGACGGAAGUCUGACCGAGCAACGCCGCGUGAGUGAAGAAGGUUUUCGGAUCGUAAAGCUCUGUUGUAAGAGAAGAACGAGUGUGAGAGUGGAAAGUUCACACUGUGACGGUAUCUUACCAGAAAGGGACGGCUAACUACGUG
rnacentral:rRNA from 1 species